rnacentral:tRNA from 1 species
GCGUCCGUAGUAAAGUGGUAUUAUGCUGGCUUCCCAAGCCAGCGUCCCGGGUUCGAACCCCGGCGGACGCA